rnacentral:rRNA from 1 species
AACGCUAGCUACAGGCUUAACACAUGCAAGUCGAGGGGCAGCAUUUUAGUUUGCUUGCAAACUAAAGAUGGCGACCGGCGCACGGGUGAGUAACACGUAUCCAACCUGCCGAUAACUCUGGGAUAGCCUUUCGAAAGAAAGAUUAAUACCGGAUGGCAUAGGAUUAUCGCAUGAUAAUCCUAUUAAAGAAUUUCGGUUAUCGAUGGGGAUGCGUUCCAUUAGGCAGUUGGUGAGGUAACGGCUCACCAAACCUUCGAUGGAUAGGGGUUCUGAGAGGAAGGUCCCCCACAUUGGAACUGAGACACGGUCCAAACUCCUACGGGAGGCAGCAGUGAGGAAUAUUGGUCAAUGGACGGGAGUCUGAACCAGCCAAGUAGCGUGAAGGAUGACUGCCCUAUGGGUUGUAAACUUCUUUUAUACGGGAAUAAAGUGAUCCACGUGUGGAUUUUUGUAUGUACCGUAUGAAUAAGGAUCGGCUAACUCCGUGCCAGCAGCCGCGGUAAUACGGAGGAUCCGAGCGUUAUCCGGAUUUAUUGGGUUUAAAGGGAGCGUAGGUGGAUUGUUAAGUCAGUUGUGAAAGUUUGCGGCUCAACCGUAAAAUUGCAGUUGAUACUGUCGGACUUGAGUGUAAAUGAGGUAGGCGGAAUGCGUGGUGUAGCGGUGAAAUGCAUAGAUAUCACGAAGAACUCCGAUUG